rnacentral:lncRNA from 1 species
GCGGACCGUCAGAAAUAUACCGACGAACGAAAUUAUGAUCCAAAAAAUAACGCCCGAGUACUUUCAGUGCGACCCUGUAUUUAUAAAUAAAAUAUACCGCCGUUCCCUCAGCAGUAUACCUAAGAACGCAAUUAUCAGUACUUCGGGUAUCGAUAAGCGUGUAAUCGAUAUUUCAUAUUCGAUAGCCGAUGUUAGGUCGGUAAAUUAAAUUAAAUCAAAUCAAAAAACUAAAAGUGCAAUAAAUAUACGAAAAAUAGUAUUAAUCCAGCAGCAGCCAUCAUCAACAACUACAACAGCAGCAACAGCAACAAAUACAUUUAUUUUUGAAGUGCAAACGGUGCAGUUGGAAAUGAUAGAUUUGACUGUGGGAGAAGCAGACGAGGAAACACACACACACACACAAUAUGCUUGCACUGCACCCAGCACCCUACCCAGGGCUCUUCAUACCCUUCAUAACCCAUUGCCCGCAUUGCCCUUCUAUUCUACGAUGUUCUGGCGUUGUUGCUAUAGGGCUCAAACGGCGAUGACGGCGGCGAUCUUACCGCUGGGAGCAGCGGCUCUCCCGUCAUCCCGACUCCAAGGCCGAUAUUUUUGGCUCCCUUUUUGUCUGCCGAAGACUUCGGCCUGCGUUUCCUGCGGGCGGGAACGCUCGACGUCGAGCUCGCGCCAACACUAGCUAGGCUAGCGUCGCUGGCAUCUGCCUCGGUGUCCAUGUCCAUGGUCCGAUAACCACUUUUAAAAACCGAUAUUCGAACAGCUGACUUAGCGGAGACUCUAACCGAAACCUAGGUCAAAAACCAAGGUUCGAACAGCUGAGAAACACGUGGCUUCUGAGAGACACGUGGCUUUUGAGAAACACGUGACAAAUAUUAAUUUGCGAGUAAUUUCGUCUAUUCGGCAACUAAUUAAACAAGGGAAAACACAUUCUUUCGCACUGAAAACCCGACGGUAAGGCGGAACGCUUAAAAACACGUCUGCUUCCAGUAGCAGUCAGAGAGCAACGAGUAGAUAGGUACAUAUGUUUUCUGAUCUCUCAGCCCUUAUUUAACGUGGCGGUUCCUCAGGAAGGGAUUUCAACCACGGUGUUGAGUUUCCCAGGAUAAGAAGCUAUAGCAAAUACAUAGCGACUCUGCCCGGGACCAAUUCGAAAGUAUACUAGUCGGGCAUACUUUCCCCCUUGGUGAGGAGCGAAGGUGUAUCUAUCACCUCUUCCGAUCUAUGGGUCACGGCACCCGGUUGAGAAACGCAACUAGACGUCGAACUUAACGGCUCUGCCCGCGUAACAUUUGGGCUACCACAGCCACCACGAUACUCCCACUAGGGGGCCGACCUCAAUGCACCAACCCGCUCAGUUGACCCUCUGUGAGGGUCUAAUACUAAUUAGAUGACUGAUCAGCCACUCUUCCUCAGAGACUCACCGUCACGAGUCAGAGUGGUUGUGGUUGGUACAUCACUGCCGGAUUUCAAAAGAGUAAUUUCAGUGCGACCGCGUAUUUAAAAAAAGAUACAUACCGGCGGACCGUCAGAAAUUUACCGACGAACGCAAUUAUGAUCAAAAAAAUACCGUCCGAGUACUUUCAGUGCGACCCUGUAUUUAUAAAUAAAAUAUACCGGCGGACCCUAAGAAAUAUACCACCGAACGCAGUUAUAUUCAAAAAAAAUGCCGCCUAAGGACUUUCAGUGUGACCGCGUAUUUAUAAAUAAAAUAUACCGCCGGACCCUCAGCAGUAUACCUAAGAACGCAAUUAUCAGUAAAAAUAUACCGCCUGUUAUUCAGAAAUAUAGUCAAUUAUCAGUACUUUGGGUAUCGAUAAGCGUGUAAUCGAUAUUUCAUAUUCGAUAGCCGAUGUUAGGUCGGUAAAUUCAAUUAAAUCAAAUCAAAAAACUAAAAGUGCAAUAAAUAUACGAAAAAUAGUAUUAAUCCAGCAGCAGCCAUCAUCAACAACUACAACAGCAGCAACAGCAACAAAUACAUUUAUUUUUGAAGUGCAAACGGUGCAGUUGGAAAUGAUAGAUUUGACUGUGCGAGAAGCAGACGAGGAAACACACACACACACAAUAUGCCUGCACUGCACCCAGCACCCUACCCAGGGCUCUUCAAACCCUUCAUAACCCAUUGCCCGCAUUGCCCUUCUAUUCGACGAUGUUCUGGCGUUGUUGCUAUAGGGCUCAAAAGGCGAUGACGGCGGCGAUCUUACNUAAAAAUAUACCGCCUUUUAUUCAGAAAUAUAGUCAAUUAUCAGUACUUUGGGUAUCGAUAAGCGUGUAAUCGAUAUUUCAUAUUCGAUAGCCGAUGUUAGGUCGGUAAAUUCAAUUAAAUCAAAUCAAAAAACUAAAAGUGCAAUAAAUAUACGAAAAAUAGUAUUAAUCCAGCAGCAGCCAUCAUCAACAACUACAAGAGCAGCAACAGCAGCAACAGCAACAAAUACAUUUAUUUUUGAAGUGCAAACGGUGCAGUUGGAAAUGAUAGAUUUGACUGUGCGAGAAGCAGACGAGGAAACACACACACACACAAUAUGCCUGCACUGCACCCAGCACCCUACCCAGGGCUCUUCAAACCCUUCAUAACCCAUUGCCCUUCUAUUCGACGAUGUUCUGGCGUUGUUGCUAUAGGGCUCAAAAGGCGAUGACGGCGGCGAUCUUACCGCUGGGAGCGGCGGCUCUCCCGUCAUCCCGACUCCAAGGCCGAUAUUUUUGGCUCCCUUUUUGUCUGCCGAAGACUUCGGCCUGCGUUUCCUGCGGGCGGGAACGCUCGACGUCGAGCUCGCGCCAACACUAGCUAGGCUAGCGUCGCUGGCAUCUGCCUCGGUGUCCAUGUCCAUGGUCCGAUAACUGAUAACCACUUUUAAAAACCGAUAUUCGAACAGCUGACUUAGUGGAGACUCUAACCGAAACCUAGGUCAAAAACCAAGGUUCGAACAGCUGAGAAACACGUGGCUUCUGAGAGACACGUGGCUUUUGAGAAACACGUGACAAAUAUUAAUUUGCGAGUAAUUUCGUCUAUUCGGCAACUAAUUAAACAAGGGAAAACACAUUCUUUCGCACUGAAAACCCGACGGUAAGGCGGAACGCUUAAAAACACGU